rnacentral:lncRNA from 1 species
GAGCGACAGAGGCAACAGCGGUCACACCAAGUUGCACCAGGCAAUCUGUGCAGCGUGGUAUAAAACACAGUUGACCUGGUUUCUCUUGAGAGGAAUCCAAUAGGAACAUAGGCGACCUGGAAUCAUUAAAAAGCCAGUGUUGUGUUUUCAUAGCGUUAGCGACACUACCGUGCACCAAUCUGCAUCCUGCAAGAGACAUUCUUCACGACCGCGAACAAAGCUGCCUCACCUAAGGGUGACAUCCCUGCCUCGCUGCCGUCUGGUGAGAGCGCUGCGGCCCAGUGAAGACCAUUCCCCAGCACCACAUGGCGUUAUGCAGGGGAAUCUCCUCCUUCAUCCAGCAACAGUGGGAUGCGUGAAGUUUGGGCCAGGUCCUCACGUAGCAUUUUGCAUCUGUAAA